rnacentral:rRNA from 1 species
UACGAAGGGGGCUAGCGUUGUUCGGAAUUACUGGGCGUAAAGAGCUCGUAGGUGGUUUGUCGCGUUGUUCGUGAAAACCGGGGGCUUAACCCUCGGCGUGCGGGCGAUACGGGCAGACUGGAGUACUGCAGGGGAGACUGGAAUUCCUGGUGUAGCGGUGGAAUGCGCAGAUAUCAGGAGGAACACCGGUGGCGAAGGCGGGUCUCUGGGCAGUAACUGACGCUGAGGAGCGAAAGCGUGGGGAGCGAACAGG